CGACAGUCCCUAGCACAAGUGACAGAAGAUUUAUUGAUCGAUGUCUAAGCCACCGUUUGGUUGGGGGUUAAGGGAUAGAAUAACCCCUUAACCCCCAAUUUAUACCCAAACACCACUCUUUUGGGAUGGGGUUAGUAAACCCUAUCCGAAAUCGGGUUAGUGGGGUUUACUAAUCCCACUCCCCCUCCCAACUUUAACCCCACACGCAUCCCGAACCCUCACCUUUUUCUUCUUUAUCAAUCAUUAACCCCACUUCCCCUCCCAACUUUAACCCCGUAUGCAUUCCCAGUUCUCACCUUUUUCUUCUUUAUCAAUCAUUAUCUUCUUAUCCCACCUAUUCCAACCAAACACUUUUUUUCACUAUCCUACACUAACUCCAACCUCCAAUCAAAUACAAAAAAAUUUUAACACCAUUUUAACCCUGAACUUAACCCUAUCCCUGGAAUAGCUACUUUUUCACAUCCCAUAAAAGUUUUAGUUCGAAUUCUAGUUGAUUCAUAUUUUCUACUAAGUUUAUUUUUUAAAAAAUAAACAAAAUGAAUAAUAUGCUAUCUUUCUCUCGAUAAUAAUAAUAAUAAUAAAGAAAUCACAAGCCUUUACCUUGCUAUGUAAUUUUUC
rnacentral:lncRNA from 1 species